rnacentral:rRNA from 1 species
UGCAAGUCGAACGGAGGACCGAAGCUUGCUUCGGAUACCUUAGUGGCGAACGGGUGAGUAACACGUGGGAAUCUACCUAAAAAUGGGGAAUAACUAUUGGAAACGAUAGCUAAUACCGCACAAUCCCUUCGGGGUAAAGGCUUCGGCCGUUUUUAGAUGAGCCCGCGCUAGAUUAGGUUGUUGGUAAGGUAAAAGCUUACCAAGCCUGCUAUCUAUAGCUGGUCUGAGAGGAUGAUCAGCCACACUGGGACUGAGACACGGCCCAGACUCCUACGGGAGGCAGCAGUGGGGAAUAUUGGACAAUGGGGGAAACCCUGAUCCAGCAAUGCCGCGUGAGUGAAGAAGGCCUUAGGGUUGUAAAACUCUUUCAGAAGUGAAGAUGAUGACUGUAACUUCAGAAGAAGAUCCGGCUAACUCCGUGCCAGCAGCCGCGGUAAUACGGAGGGAUCUAGCGUUGUUCGAAAUUACUGGGCGUAAAGGGCGCGUAGGCUGUAUAAUUAGUCAGAGGUGAAAUCCCUAAGCUUAACUUAGGAACUGCCUUUGAUACUGUUAUACUAGAGAUCGAGAGAGGUGAGUGGAAUUCCAAGUGUAGAGGUGAAAUUCGUAGAUAUUUGGAAGAACACCAAUGGCGAAAGCGGCUCACUGGCUCGUUUCUGACGCUGAGGCGCGAAAGCGUGGGUAGCAAACAGGAUUAGAUACCCUGGUAGUCCACGC